UACGUAGGCAGCAAGCGUUGUUCGGAAUUACUGGGCGUAAAGAGUGUGUAGGCGGUGCUCUAAGUUUGGUGUGAAAUCUCCCGGCUCAACCGGGAGGGUGCGCCGAAAAACUGGAGUGCUCGAGUAUGGGAGAGGUAAGCGGAAUUCCCAGUGUAGAGGUGAAAUUCGUAGAUAUUGGGAAGAACACCGGUGGCGAAGGCGGCUCUCUGGACCGACACUGACGCGUGAGGCGCGAAAGCGUGGGGAGCAACAGG
rnacentral:rRNA from 1 species